AUUGAACGCUGGCGGCAGGCCUAACACAUGCAAGUCGAACGAGUGGCGGACGGGUGAGUAAUGUCUGGGAAACUGCCUGAUGGAGGGGGAUAACUACUGGAAACGGUAGCUAAUACCGCAUACCAUCAGAUGUGCCCAGAUGGGAUUAGCUUGUGGGUGGGGGAACGGCUAACCACGGCGACGAUCACUAGCUGGUCUGAGAGGAUGACCAGCCACACUGGACCUGAGACACGGCCCAAACUCCUACGGGAGGCAGCAGUGGGGAAUAUUGCACAAUGGGCGCAAGCCUGAUGCAGCCAUGCCGCGUGUAUGAUGAAGGCCUUCGGGUUGUAAAGUACUUUCAGCGGGGAGGCGUUACCCACAGAGGAAGCACCGGCUAACUCCGUGCCAGCCGCCGCGGUAAUAC
rnacentral:rRNA from 1 species